CCUGGUGGCUCAGAUGGUAAAGCGUCUGCCUGCAAUGCAGGGGACCCAGGUUUGAUCCCUGGGUCAGGA
rnacentral:tRNA from 1 species